AUGCCGCGUGCAGGAUGAAGGCCUUCUGGGUUGUAAACUGCUUUUACAGGGGAAGAAAACACCCAUGCGUGGGGAACUGACGGUACCCUGGGAAUAAGCACCGGCUAACUCCGUGCCAGCAGCCGCGGUAAUACGGAGGGUGCAAGCGUUGUCCGGAUUUAUUGGGUUUAAAGGGUGCGUAGGCGGCCCCUUAAGUCAGUGGUGAAAGCCCGGGGCUCAACCCCGGAACCGCCAUUGAUACUGGGGGGCUUGAGUACAGACGAGGUAGGCGGAAUUGAGGGUGUAGCGGUGAAAUGCUUAGAUACCCUCAAGAACACCGAUUGCGUAGGCAGCUUACUAGGCUGUGACUGACGCUGAGGCACGAAAGCGUGGGGAGCGAACAGGAUUAGAUACCCUGGUAGUCCACGCCGUAAACGAUGAUUACUCGAUGUCGGCGACAGACUGUCGGCGUCUUAGCGAAAGCGUUAAGUAAUCCACCUGGGGAGUACGCCCGCAAGGGUGAAACUCAAAGGAAUUGACGGA
rnacentral:rRNA from 1 species